UGGGGAAUAUUGCACAAUGGGCGAAAGCCUGAUGCAGCGACGUCGCGUGCGGGAUGAAGGCCUUCGGGUUGUAAACCGCUUUUGAUUGGGAGCAAGCGAGAGUGAGUGUACCUUUCGAAUAAGCACCGGCUAACUACGUGCCAGCAGCCGCGGUAAUACGUAGGGUGCAAGCGUUAUCCGGAAUUAUUGGGCGUAAAGAGCUCGUAGGCGGUUUGUCGCGUCUGGUGUGAAAGUCCAUCGCUUAACGGUGGAUCUGCGCCGGGUACGGGCAGGCUAGAGUGCGACAGGGGAGACUGGAAUUCCCGGUGUAACGGUGGAAUGUGUAGAUAUCGGGAAGAACACCAAUGGCGAAGGCAGGUCUCUGGGUCGUCACUGACGCUGAGGAGCGAAAGCGUGGGGAGCGAACAGGAUUAGAUACCCUGGUAGUCCACGCCGUAAACGGUGGAUGCUGGAUGUGGGGCCCAUUCCACGGGUUCCGUGUCGGAGCUAACGCGUU
rnacentral:rRNA from 1 species